UACAGAGGUCUCAAGCGUUGUUCGGAUUCAUUGGGCGUAAAGGGUGCGUAGGUGGCAUGGUCAGUCGGAUGUGAAAUCCCGGGGCUCAACCCCGGAACUGCAUUCGAUACUGCCGCGCUAGAGUACUGGAGAGGAGAUUGGAAUUUACGGUGUAGCAGUGAAAUGCGUAGAUAUCGUAAGGGAAGACCAGUGGCGAAGGCGGAUCUCUGGACAGUUACUGACACUGAGGCACGAAGGCCAGGGGAGCAAACGGG
rnacentral:rRNA from 1 species